GAGGUUAAGCGACUAAGCGUACACGGUGGAUGCCCUGGCAGUCAGAGGCGAUGAAGGACGUGCUAAUCUGCGAUAAGCGCCGGUAAGGUGAUAUGAACCGUUAUAACCGGCGAUUUCCGAAUGGGGAAACCCAGUGUGACUCGUCACACUAUCAUUAACUGAAUCCAUAGGUUAAUGAGGCGAACCGGGGGAACUGAAACAUCUAAGUACCCCGAGGAAAAGAAAUCAACCGAGAUUCCCCCAGUAGCGGCGAGCGAACGGGGAGGAGCCCAGAGCCUGAAUCAGCAUGUGUGUUAGUGGAAGCGUCUGGAAAGGCGCGCGAUACAGGGUGACAGCCCCGUACACAAAAGCGCAUGUGCUGUGAGCUCGAUGAGUAGGGCGGGACACGUGGUAUCCUGUCUGAAUAUGGGGGGACCAUCCUCCAAGGCUAAAUACUCCUGACUGACCGAUAGUGAACCAGUACCGUGAGGGAAAGGCGAAAAGAACCCCG
rnacentral:rRNA from 1 species